UAGGGGGCAAGCGUUAUCCGGUUUUACUGGGUGUAAAGGGAGCGUAGACGGUGAUGCAAGUCUGGAGUGAAAUGCAGGGGCCCAACCCCUGGACUGCUUUGGAAACUGUGUGACUGGAGUGCAGGAGAGGUAAGUGGAAUUCCUAGUGUAGCGGUGAAAUGCGUAGAUAUUAGGAGGAACACCAGUGGCGAAGGCGGCUUACUGGACUGUAACUGACGUUGAGGCUCGAAAGCGUGGGGAGCAAA
rnacentral:rRNA from 1 species